rnacentral:lncRNA from 1 species
AUGAUAUGUCAAGAGAAGACUCAUAAUUGGAAAGAAUAUGGUAGUAAUCUUCUCGUUUUUCUUUGGGGUCUAUUGGGUCAACCAAGGAUAAUUCUGUGGCCCUAUGAUAUCUAUCAUAACCUAGACGCAUGCCCUCCCAUGUACGAAGGUUUUCUUGAGCACUUCCCAAAGAUUUUAAUUUCUAAAACAGUUUUUGACUAUACCUUUAUGUAAGAUGUCAUGGUGACGUGCUACCCAAGUUGGUGUCAAGAGUCACAGUUGAUAUAUAUAUUUGUAUCAAAACUCACAACACAUGAGUUGUUGUAUUUUGCACGACAAUUGUUGUAAUAAAGUUGUAGUUGUUUUCUGUACCAUGUAUUUGGCGACUCGGAAUGGGUUGGAUGGAAUGGACCUAUUUUGGGAUUGUCACAUAAGGGGUAUUAUUUCUUUUGGUAUUCAUGAGGAGAACUUCUGUUAUUCCAUUAUUUAUUAUUCUGUUG